rnacentral:hammerhead_ribozyme from 1 species
AUCUGGAUGACAAGUCCCAAAUAGGAUGAAAUGUGCAUCCUGGAU